GAUGAACGCUGGCGGCGUGCCUAAUACAUGCAAGUCGAGCGAACAGACGAGGAGCUUGCUCCUCUGACGUUAGCGGCGGACGGGUGAGUAACACGUGGAUAACCUACCUAUAAGACUGGGAUAACUUCGGGAAACCGGAGCUAAUACCGGAUAAUAUAUUGAACCGCAUGGUUCAAUAGUGAAAGACGGUUUUGCUGUCACUUAUAGAUGGAUCCGCGCCGCAUUAGCUAGUUGGUAAGGUAACGGCUUACCAAGGCAACGAUGCGUAGCCGACCUGAGAGGGUGAAGGGCCAACCUAGAACUGAGACACGGUCCAGACUCCUACGGGAGGCAGCAGUAGGGAAUCUUCCGCAAUGGGCGAAAGCCUGACGGAGCAACGCCGCGUGAGUGAUGAAGGUCUUCGGAUCGUAAAACUCUGUUAUUAGGGAAGAACAAAUGUGUAAGUAACUAUGCACGUCUUGACGGUACCUAAUCAGAAAGCCACGGCUAACUACGUG
rnacentral:rRNA from 1 species